rnacentral:misc_RNA from 1 species
AAAGUCGUAACAAGGUUUCCGUAGGUGAACCUGCGGAAGGAUCAUUAUCACGUAUCCACGUAUAAACCAUUGUGAACCGUUUUUAACCUCUGCAAAACCGGCUCGAGCAUAAACCGUAAAAAAGUUUAUGUGAAAAGUCGGCUAGUAACAGAGCGUAUUUACCUAUUAACCAUUUUAACCAAUCUUUAUAACUUUAUGAACUAACUUUAUUUUAUACUCUUCGGAGAUAAAAUUCAUUACGAAACAAAGAACAACUCUUAGCAACGGAUAUCUUGGUUCUC